rnacentral:rRNA from 1 species
UACGAAGGGGGCUAGCGUUGCUCGGAAUCACUGGGCGUAAAGCGCACGUAGGCGGCUUGUUAAGUCAGGGGUGAAAUCCUGGAGCUCAACUCCAGAACUGCCUUUGAUACUGGCGAGCUUGAGUCCGGGAGAGGUGAGUGGAACUGCGAGUGUAGAGGUGAAAUUCGUAGAUAUUCGGAAGAACACCAGUGGCGAAGGCGGCUCACUGGUCCGGUACUGACACUGAGGAGCGAAAGCGUGGGUAGCAAACAGG